GAGGGGUGUAUAUGACAACAAAACAAUGAUGCGUUUACUGCCAAAUAUUAGUCUUGAGUGAAGAAAACCCGCGAAACAUCUAUAUAAAUGCCUGAGAUAUGCACGAAUUUCACGUGUUUACCCGCGAAGGUUAUAAAACACUUAAGGUGAUAAACACCCACUAACAUUGUUAUAUCCGAAACGAUAAUAAUUUCCUCUGCGGUGUUAUACAAAAAGUCAUAUUCAAAAGCUUUUAGCCUUGAAAAUGUAUUUUUUUCCGAUUUCUCAACCAACAUUUUAUUAAUUGUUAACACUGUAUUAUCAUUUUGUUAUAGAAAUUUCCUCCUAGACAGCGUAUGAUUGUAAUAUUUCACAUGGUCAGGAUUAUUACAAAAUAAGCAAUCAGAUAGUAGGAUUAUGAGAUAAAUUGCAAAACGAUUGGUGAAUUUCAAUGCACGUUAAAUCAACUAAUUAUAUAAAUCAGUUUACUAUACAAAUAACUGCUAGUUCUGAGCGUUACGCAGUAUAGCUCAGAACGUAUGUCUUAACUUGGGCGAAGCACAAAAUCGCGGGUAUAUUUUGUGCGAUUCAGUGACGCGGAACGUCACGUGAUAUUAGGCGGGCUAUUGCACGGCCAGCGCCGUGUGAAUAAGUUCUAGGCUUGACUUCUAUACAGACACACGUAUUUUCGCUAUUCAAAUUCGGAUAUGUUUCUUAUUUAAGUUUGUACAUCACGAUAAUAAUAACAUUAUUUUAAAGUACGGCGCUAUUGUUUUGGAAAGGCGUACAAUGAUGAGACCCAAUAUCUAGUGGUAUGACAGUCGGCGUAACUCGCUGAUGACAAACGGGUGGAGGUUCCUGAGUUUUUUCCCUUUAAAAUAGGAAGGUUUUACUUCAGGUUUUCCUCGGCCAGUCGACCACGUCUGUAAGCGUUUUCAUAACCUUGUACGGGUUUUUUACAACAAGCAUCAUCAGUUAUAACUUUAUUUUGUAUUUUUCGAGGAGCAAAUGAUCAAAGAUGUUUAAUUGUAGUUGCAGAUUUGACACAGAAUGAAAAAGAAAUAUUCAUAUUCAGUUGUACAAGAUUUUAUUAUUCUGCGUAGACUUGAUGUUUUCAUAUAGAAUAUACUUUCUCAUAUCGAAAGUUUUCACUUAGUCCAGAGCAUGAUUUAAGCUUAUUUUGUGCACGUUUGAACUUAUGUUGAUAAUAUACAUCAUAACAGUAACGCUUUUCAGAAUUAUUUUAAACUACUUAGAUCUAUUAUGUUAUCACAAUUUGUUACCGUACAUGUACAUAUUUUGUGCGCCUGCCUUUCGUCCAAUAAAUAUAGCAAGUCUUGCCCACUGCAAACCGGAGUUUGUUUUUGUGUGUAGUUAGGUUAAGACUAAGAAACAGGUUCGCUAUAUUUUUAUUACAAACUCAGGUUAUAACGAAAACGCACUUGCUUGUCCCGAUGAGUUCGCUAAAACCGGAGUUUAGGGUAAAAUGGGGUAACUGGGACACUUAAAGAAACACUGUUGAGUAAUAUUUUAGAAAGACAAAAUAUAAACUGGAUUUAUUGAUUUUUCAGUAUGCGCAGCCUAUACAAUAUAUGACGAAUGUAAACUUUUACAAAUACCUGAAAACCUGUGAUUAACUUUAAAUUAAUUAAACAUUGGUCAAGUGUCCCAGUUGGGGUAACUUGGGACAUUUUAAUUGUAUUAAAACUGUGUAUAUUACAGUCGCAUUUAUGAAAAAUGAAACCAUUCAUGUCCACAGAUCAAAACAGAAGUCUAAACUGAAAAUAUAGCUCAAUAUUAAUUACAGUUUAUGACUGUUUUGUAAAACAAGGAUGCAUAAAGAAAUCAAUAUGUCCAAAUUUUGCCAAAAUUAUGUCAUUAUUUGUUUCAAUAUAUGCUUAUCGGAUAAAUCGGUUAAAAUAAAAAAGUGUUGUAAGUGUAAAAUACAAUGUGUGAAUUAAACAUAAACUUGAAAUAAUCCAUUACGUACUUAUAUAUGUGACUUUUACACUUGAAACUGAUCAAAAUUUUAAACAGUCUUAAAACAUAGAUUUUAUCAAAUAUUAACGGGACAAUUGAAAUGUGUGUCUUUUUUCACAAAGAAAUAAGGACAUUAACUAGCUUUGCAUACAUUUUUGCAUACAGGAAGACUCGGGGAGGAGGGAUGAGAUGUGAGGGGAAUGAAGGCAGGGUUAAGGAGAUCCAGAGGGAUACAUAGGCAUAUGCUCUAGGAAAUUAUUGGCAACUGUACCUAAAAUGUGUUGUCUGACCAAUAUUUGGUGUUUGCUUUAGCCUGAAUAUUUGGCACAACGGCAUAGUAAUUAACAAAAAGAACAACCCAGUUGGCUUGACUGUCAGUUGGUUUCUACGCUUCACCUAGUAUAAAUACUAUUUAUUAAUAUAAGAUUUGCCGACAGUUUAUUUAAACAUGAAAGAAGUAUCAGUAUUAGCCUAUUAGACUAUCAAAAAUUCUAAACUCACCAGAUUUUACGCGGAAUGAGUGGGAGGGGUUUACGGAACGAUCUCUCUUAGAUAAACUUAUGUGACUUAACAGUUACUUGGGUCAUGUAAACUUGGUAUCAGGUAGAAAAUGUUCAGUAAUUGCACCCAAGUUAAGCUAAUAUAGAUUAUGACCACGCCUGUGAACUAGUGGUAUACUUACAAAAUAUCAGAGUUUCAUCAUUACUAGACUUUCUUUCCUUUUUUCAUUUCAUUCGUGGAAAAAGAUUAAAAGUUGACAAUUUAUAGUGGUUAUGUACAGUUAUGUACAACAUUUUAUGUACUGUCCAUUGGAGCAUAUCCCCUUUUUCUUCCAGCAUCCAGUUUGUUCAAAAAUAAAAACAUGGAUAACCUUGUUCUUAACGAGAGUGUCCCACUUGCCCUAAUAAAUUUGGGUAAGUGGGACACUUUUGAAAAGGAACGUUCAAAAUAAAGUAUGUUGUGAUUUCUUAAAACCAAAUCUCAUUGUAUGAAACAGUAAUGUGAUACCUACAGUUUUGCCACUCUUCCUAUAGCUGAAGGUAUCAACACAUACCAAUAUAAAUAUUUUAGACUUGCCAUAUUUCACAAACAAGCACCUGUUUUAUAACGUCAUUGUCUGACGUCAACGCAACGGUUCAUGACAGACCACUUUAUUAUUCAAAAUGAAAGUCAUUUAAACCAAAUUAUUAUACUUUUCGAUAGAAUUUUAAAAAGAUAAUGCCAUGUCCUUGAUUUGCAAUGAUACAAAAUACGAUUCAAUAUUUCAAACAAGUUUAAUGCGAUAUUACAUACACAUACGAGAACCAGCUUCAUGCGUCAAAAUUAUCAUGACGUCACAUUUAUGAUCAAGCCGUAUCGAAGUUAAAUAUCUUUAAGAUCUUAUUGAUAUACCGACCACAUAUAAGCAAAUACAUCUAUAAAGUCAGAAGACUAUUUCUACUGUGCGUUUCACUAGACAGGAACAUAACGAGAAUAUUUUAAUGCACCAUCUGAAAAAAAUAGGCAUAAUUAUUUAUAGCGUGUAAUUUUAUGUUUUCUUAUUUUUAUUUAAUCAGUAAUACUCUCAACAUAUGUCUAAGAAAAUUUACUCUUAAAAUAUUUUCCAAUUCAUAGGUAGAAAAAGUUUUGUCAAAAUAGGCUUUAACACUGAAUGUUCUUUUUCAACAUAUGAUCUUAUUUAGGGAACGUAACCAAUAUUUUCCCCCAAUUUACUGAAAAGUGUAAAGUGUCCCAGUUACCCCAUUGUCCCAGUUACCCCAUUUUACCCUACUGUACUUCAAACACAAUAUGAAGUAAGCAAUGAUAGUGUAUGAAGCCAUCUCCGUUGCAUGACACUAGCCAAGUAAUUGUGUAUGGUUGCCAGAUUUUCACUACGCAGCUGCGUAUUUGCGUAAGGGUAGCUACGCGCAUGUAAACUAUAUUUUGGCGGAUCCUAUAUAAUGUAAAUUUAUACACCUAAGGACUGAUCUAAAGAACUGUACUAUGUAAAGAAACGUACAAUAGUGAUACUGUAGCAGUAGCUACCUUGAUUUGAAAUAUAUUUGGCUUGGGUAGACAUUGCCAGGCCUGCAUCCUAAUAUGCACUUGCGCUGAGUGUGACCCGCCCUGGCAAAAUCCAACAGAUGAAAAUCCAUCGUUGCGGAUCAAGGUACUGUUAUGAAUUACACCUCUAAGUUUUUCUAGAAAUUGUCUAAUUUGAGACAAAAGUGACCAAAAAUUCGCUUAAAACAGUGAACUGUUUGAGGCAUGGAACGACGAGACGCCAUUAUUACAUCAGUUUUGACAUCAGAUGUGACGUCACGACUAACACAAGUAGUACCAUUAUUAAACAUUUGU